rnacentral:tRNA from 1 species
GGGAUCGUGGCGCAAUUGGUAGCGCAAGAAACUCUUAAUUUCGAGGUUGAAGGUUCGAGUCCUUCCGGUCCCA